rnacentral:rRNA from 1 species
UGGGGAAUAUUGGACAAUGGGCGAAAGCCUGAUCCAGCCAUGCCGCGUGUGUGAAGAAGGUCUUCGGAUUGUAAAGCACUUUAAGUUGGGAGGAAGGGCAGUAAGCGAAUACCUUGCUGUUUUGACGUUACCGACAGAAUAAGCACCGGCUAACUCUGUGCCAGCAGCCGCGGUAAUACAGAGGGUGCAAGCGUUAAUCGGAAUUACUGGGCGUAAAGCGCGCGUAGGUGGUUCGUUAAGUGGAAUGUGAAAGCCCCGGGCUCAACCUGGGACGUGCAUCAAAAACUGGGGGGCUGAGGUAGGCCGAGGGUUGGUGGAAUUUCCUGUGUGGCGGUGAAAUGCGUAGAAAAAGGAGGGAACACCAGUGGCGAAGGCGCCCCCCUGGGUUCAUACUGCCCCUGGGGUGGGAAGGGGUGGGAGCAAACAGG